AGGGACUCCAUCUCCAUCUCUACUUUAUUUUCACAUUUGAGAACCUGUUGAUGGGAUGGAUGAAAAUGCUGAAGUUGAUCACAGUGCUGAGAAUAUUCUUGAAGAUAAAUGGAAGAACUGUUAUGUGCAACAAAUCGGUCAGCUGUCUUUUCUGCCUGUACCACUUGGAGGGAAAAAAAAUCAGAAGGACUCUUUGCUUCCUCCUUCUGGAAGGAGUUGAGCUAAAGGACAAUCAGAUUCUGGGGUCUUCCUGGGACUUUCUUCUACUGGUGACGUGACUGGAGCAGGAGGAAGACCCGAGCUCAUGCCUGAGCUGAAGUCUUGCCUUUCUUCAGCAGAAUUGCAUGCAGAUUUCAGUUUCCAGCAUCCUUGUGGCUUUCUGGUUCAUGUGGUCCACCCGAAGUAGACUGUAAAUCCAAGAAGAGGGACCGCGGCUGUCUGCUUGAGCACUGCUCAGCUCUGGCACACAGUAGGCACUCCAGAAAUACUUACCUGAUGAAUGAAUGAGGGGCAGACUUAGG
rnacentral:lncRNA from 1 species